rnacentral:rRNA from 1 species
AUGAACGCUGGCGGCGUGCCUCUACAUGCAAGUCGAGCGAACAGACGAGGAGCUUGCUCCUCUGACGUUAGCGGCGGACGGGUGAGUAACACGUGGAUAACCUACCUAUAAGACUGGGAUAACUUCGGGAAACCGGAGCUAAUACCGGAUAAUAUAUUGAACCGCAUGGUUCAAUAGUGAAAGACGGUUUUGCUGUCACUUAUAGAUGGAUCCGCGCCGCAUUAGCUAGUUGGUAAGGUAACGGCUUACCAAGGCAACGAUGCGUAGCCGACCUGAGAGGGUGAUCGGCCACACUGGAACUGAGACACGGUCCAGACUCCUACGGGAGGCAGCAGUAGGGAAUCUUCCGCAAUGGGCGAAAGCCUGACGGAGCAACGCCGCGUGAGUGAUGAAGGUCUUCGGAUCGUAAAACUCUGUUAUUAGGGAAGAACAAAUGUGUAAGUAACUAUGCACGUCUUGACGGUACCUAAUCAGAAAGCCACGGCUAACUACGUG